rnacentral:rRNA from 1 species
GGCCGGCAACCCCACUCAGCUAAACUGACGCAUCAACGCCGCGUGAGUGAUGAAGGUUAUCGGAUCGUAAAGCUCUGUCAGAGGGGAAGAAACUCCCGGGUGUAAAUAACACUUGGGCCUGACGGUACCCUCAAAGGAAGCACCGGCUAACUCCGUGCCAGCAGCCGCGGUAAUACGGAGGGUGCAAGCGUUGUUCGGAAUUAUUGGGCGUAAAGCGCGUGUAGGCGGUUGUUUAAGUCUGAUGUGAAAGCCCUGGGCUCAACCCGGGAAGUGCAUUGGAAACUGGGCAACUUGAGUACGGGAGAGGGUAGUGGAAUUCCGAGUGUAGGGGUGAAAUCCGUAGAUAUUCGGAGGAACACCGGUGGCGAAGGCGGCUACCUGGACCGAUACUGACGCUGAGACGCGAAAGCGUGGGGAGCAAACAGGAUUAGAUACCCUGGUAGUCCACGCCGUAAACGAU